GGUGCUGCUUGGACUCACGGGGUGGCAAUGGCUGCGGAAGGGGGGCUGCCCCUCCAGGGACAGGACAGUGGCCGCGGCCCCCGGCUUUGACAACAUCCUCUUCAACGCGGAUCAAGUGACCCUGCCAGCAUCGAUCACCAACGGCCCCUAGGCCCAGAGGACCCGCUCCUCCCAGGAGCUCCCCACCCUGUCGGCCCUGGCCCCAGAUGUGCCAAGUCCCCACCCCUCAUCCUGCAUCCCGCCCGCCACCCACGUGUGGUGGCAGUCCUCACCCCAACAAUAAACACUCCGGCCCGGAGGGCAGCCCCUCUCGCCGGCCAGCCUGUGCA